GACAGAGGGUGCAAACGUUGUUCGGAAUUACUGGGCGUAAAGCGCGUGUAGGCGGCAGGGCAAGUCGGAUGUGAAAUCCCGUGGCUCAACCACGGAAGUGCACCCGAAACUGCCCAGCUAGAGUCUCGGAGAGGAAGGUGGAAUGCUUGGUGUAGAGGUGAAAUUCGUAGAUAUCAAGCGGAACUCCGGUGGCGAAGGCGGCACGCUGGACCUUUUCUGACGCUGAGGCGCGAAAGCCAGGGGAGCAAACGGG
rnacentral:rRNA from 1 species